rnacentral:rRNA from 1 species
GAUGAACGCUGGCGGCGUGCUUAACACAUGCAAGUCGAACGUGAGCUCUCCUUCGGGAGAGUGAAAGUGGCAAACGGGUGAGUAACACGUUGGUGACCUGCCCCCAGGCGGGGGAUAACCCUGGGAAACCAGGGCUAAUACCGCGGAUGUCUGAAGCUUUAGAAAAUUCAGACUAAAACUGAGGUGCCUGGGGAGGGGCCUGCGGGCUAUCAGCUAGUUGGUGGGGUAAAGGCCUACCAAGGCGCAGACGGCUAGGGGGCGUGAGAGCGCGACCCCCCACAAGGGAACUGAGACACGGUCCCUACUCCUACGGGAGGCAGCAGUGAGGAAUAUUGCCCAAUGGAGGAAACUCUGAGGCAGCAACGCCGCGUGAACGAUGACGGCCUUCGGGUUGUAAAGUUCUUUUCUCAGGGAAGAUAGUGACGGUACCUGAGGAAUAAGUCCCGGCUAACUACGUGCCAGCAGCCGCGGUAAAACGUAGGGGACAAGCGUUAUCCGGAUUUACUGGGCGUAAAGCGCCCGUAGGCGGCUUGAUAAGUUGGACGUGAAAGCUCCCGGCUUAACUGGGAGAGGCCGUUCAAAACUGUCAAGCUAGAGUGAGGAAGAGGAGAGCGGAAUUCCCGGUGUAGUGGUGGAAUGCGUAGAGAUCGGGAGGAACACCAGUGGCGAAAGCGGCUCUCUGGUCCUAAACUGACGCUGAGGGGCGAAAGCGUGGGGAGCGAACGGGAUUAGAUACCCCGGUAGUCCACGCCGUAAACGAUGGAGACUAGGUGUAGGUGGAUAGAACCCCAUCUGUGCCGAAGCCAACGCGUUAAGUCUCCCGCCUGGGGAGUACGGCCGCAAGGUUAAAACUCAGGAAUUGACGGGGGCCCGCACAAGCAGCGGAGCGUGUGGUUUAAUUCGAUGAUACGCGAAGAACCUUACCUGGGUUUGACAUAGAGGUAGUAGCCGACCGAAAGGAAGACCCUUCGGGGAGCCUCUACAGGUGCUGCAUGGCUGUCGUCAGCU